UACGUAGGAGGCGAGCGUUGUCCGGAAUCACUGGGCGUAAAGGGCGCGUAGGCGGCGCGGAUAGUCGGCGGUGAAAGCCCGGAGCUCAACUCCGGGUCGGCCGUCGAUACUUCCGGGCUUGAGCACUGUAGAGGCAGAUGGAAUUCCGGGUGUAGCGGUGGAAUGCGUAGAGAUCCGGAAGAACACCGGUGGCGAAGGCGGUCUGCUGGGCAGUUGCUGACGCUGAUGCGCGACAGCGUGGGGAGCAAACAGGG
rnacentral:rRNA from 1 species